UACGAAGGGGGCUAGCGUUGCUCGGAAUUACUGGGCGUAAAGGGCGCGUAGGCGGAUAUUUAAGUCAGGGGUGAAAGCCCGGGGCUCAACCCCGGAAUUGCCUUUGAUACUGGAUAUCUUGAGUUCGGGAGAGGUGAGUGGAAUGCCGAGUGUAGAGGUGAAAUUCGUAGAUAUUCGGCGGAACACCAGUGGCGAAGGCGACUCACUGGCCCGAUACUGACGCUGAGGCGCGAAAGCGUGGGGAGCAAACAGG
rnacentral:rRNA from 1 species